AGAUCCAAUAUCGAAAGAAAUCAAAACCAGAGCCUUCGGCCAUUUAUGAGAAAGUGGACGGAAUCUACACAGACCUCGUCACUCCACAAACCGACACGUACACACCCCUGGAGCUCCCCAAAGUCGAACCGCGGGUUAAAGUCUCCAAAGAAGACCCAGUAGUGGAAUAGGCGCUGCUGUUGCUUGCGGAAACCUUUUGACGGCAUCUGAAAAUCGCAAAACUGAGUUUGACGUGGGACGACCGUAGAGCGAUCCUCGCUGGGCCUUUAGGAAAGACUCUGACCUCUUUUGUACUUUGGCUAACUGGAUUUGAAAGGGGGGGCUUGCAUAUAGCUGCCACUGCUUGAUCUUGGUCACCAGCAACCCAUCCUUACUCUUAAGAAUCUUGUCUAUUUCCUUCAUGGCUGCUCCUCCUGAUUUCUUGGUUGCAGUCUCCCUUUUGGAAAUGCAAAUACUGGGACUCAAAGGUGGCAUGCAAACACUUCAGAAGAACCAUUAAAAAAAUUAGAAGAUCAUGGUUAGCCUAUAGAAGCAGCGGGCAAAGAGACAUGGUUUAUCUUCUACCUCCCGAAGGCCUUGCAAAUUCCAGGGUGAUAGCUCUGUUGGCUUGUUGCUUCAAAAGCAAAAAGGAGAGUCACAAACCUUUUAGGACAAACCGAUGCACGGGAAGCAUAAUUUUCUAGAUUCAGUUCUCGGUCGGCAGAUAUAUAAGCACACAGAGGAAAAGCCACAUAAGGAAUAUCUUAUACCCUCUUGAGUUGAAAAUGUAAUGGUGCCACUUGCAUCGCAUGGACUUUUAAUCUCCUCUGUUCAUAUGGUUUCUUCCCCACCGUGUGCAUAUCUGCUGAUUAAGAAUCCACCCCGUACAUCGGACAAAGUGAGCUCUAGUGGUCUGCGAAAGUUUCAGUCACAAUCAAUCUGGUACUCUUCAAGGUGCCACAAAACCUCGCUUUGCAAUUUUCCUAAUGGGGACGGAGUUUUCAGGAAAUUUGGUCAAAUUGUCUUUCUCAAGGGGGACAGAACCUGGACGGUGCUUCUUAGCAUCGCCUCAGAUAAUCAUCUCUUGAGAGGAAGAAGAAGAGCAGGAGAGAUGGGUAGCCGGGACCUGAAAGGUUCAUCGUUUCCUCCUUGACCACACUGCAUCGAACUGAAGCCAUUUUGCAAAGGAGAAAGUAUGCCAAGCCCAGUGCAGAUCGCACUGUUUCUAAGGCAUCAUUACUGGUGCACGAAUGGGAUUUGUGUAUUCUGAAAGAAACUGAGAGUGCUCUAUUAAGAUGAAUUUGCUUAAUCUGUGCAAUUCUCUUAACUGAGGGUAUCUGGACUGCCUCCUCCCAUACAGUCCAGACCACCAAUUAAGAUCGGUCUCCCCAGCUCUCCUCGCUCUCUGCCCCCUACCUGCAGUGGGUGGCAACAAAAGAUAGGGCUUUUUCAGUGGUGCCCCCCACCCGGCUCACCUGGCGCCUAUCCUACUUCUUUAUUUAUGGCAUCGGGCCAAAUAAUUUCAUUUACCCAGGUUUUUAAUUAAGGCGUUGAUGUCUGGUUCCAGCCUGAACACUGUUAUAUGAGAAUCAGUUUAGGCUGCUAAAUAGGUCUGGGGACAGGGGAUACCCUGCCCUCAGGUCCCCUUGCCCCCCCAAAAACAGCCUUGUAUACUCACCAAAAGUUCAUACAGGAAGUGAUAAACUGUAGCUCUAGGAAUUGCCUUUAUGUUUUUCUUCCACAGAGUGAUUUCCAGUGAUUUCUAGAGCUGCCCUUUGUCACUUCCUUAUGAACGUCCAUUAAGUGCGUAAGACUGUAGGUUUUAUUUUUUAUUUUUUGACGCAAUGCUUUGCCACUCCCUACCCUCCCGCUUUUUGCUGUUUUUAUGCUUUGGCUGGGGU